ensembl:lncRNA
GUUACGAGGUCGAACGGCUGUCCUAUCACGCCCCUGCUCCCCGGGGGUAAGGGGGGGACGCUGUGGAACAAAGGGUGUCCCCUGCUGGAAGGAGCGAAUUGGAUGAAAUCAAGGACAAGAUGCUCAGGACCAACGAUCAUACAGGAUGAUACGACGCGACGUACUGUCUGGGCCAAGUACUUCAAGUGCUGGCAGCUCCACAUCCAAAACCCCAUCAGCACACCUGGUCUACCUUGAUGUUUGUAUAUUUCUGCAAUAAGGGCAUCAAUGUUGUAAUGCUUGAAAAAUAACCUUGUUAAGUUACCUGUAUUCUAUGUUCUCAUGAAUAGUUUUUUUUUGAAGUAAAACUCUUGAAAGUAGAUCAUAUAUGUGGCUAUAACCCAGACAGAGGCCGGAAGUUGUAUCGUGCACCUGACAAUGCUCUGAUGAUGCUGAUGCCUCCAUCGUGUCUGCAGCACUAAAUGAGGCAACAGAGUCCUCCUUUGAGGUGAGGGCUGAGGACACAUUCGUCCAGGUUAUGCUGGUCCAUCAUAGGGCAAACCACCCGGUCUUCCUCACGACAGCAAAAGAUACAUCUUAUGAUGUCGGAAAGAUUCGAGAGUGUAACCCUAACCCUAACCCUAACCCGGAGAGGUACCGUCAUACCUUAUAUUCCUACAUAGCUUCUCUGACUGUGAUACCGUAUCAGCAAUUUCUGGGUUUAACAAACCACCUUUGCUCAGCAAGCUCUGCAAGACUGACAAAUCAGAGCGGGCCAUGGAUGUGUUCAGUGUCAUCAGAGCCAAGAAAGUGACAUCAUCAAUGCUGGCUAUGAGGCACUUUCAGAUGCUGCUGUAAAAAGCAAGGAGUCAAAUGUAUUUAUUCUUGUGGGAUCUGUCAUGGUAACAGAACAUCAACCAGCCAGAUGAUAAUAGUAGUGAGGUAGAUGCAGGGGAGUUGGAUGAGGUUUGUUAAAACUACAACUGAUAACGCAAGUUUUGAUUUGUAAUUGUUCAAUAAAUAAUUUUUU